GGCCGGUGAUGUAAGAAAAUAUUUGCUACUCUUGAUGGAGUUAUAUAUAAUUCCAUUUGAUGAUUCCUAUCCACCAAGAUCUCUGAGGCC
rfam:Populus trichocarpa isolate Nisqually-1 chromosome 1, whole genome shotgun sequence.